rnacentral:rRNA from 1 species
AGUGAACGCUGGCGGCGUGCUUAACACAUGCAAGUCGAACGAGAACGGGUUAUAGCUUGCUAUAAUUGUCAGCUAAGUGGCGCACGGGUGAGUAAUGUGUAGGUAAUAUGCCUCUUACUAAGGGAUAACAAAUGGAAACGUUUGCUAAUACCUUAUACUCCUUAUUAACAGAAGUUAAUAAGGGAAAGAUUUAUUGGUAAGAGAUUAGCCUGUAUUGUAUCAGUUAGUUGGUGGGGUAAUGGCUUACCAAGACUAUGACACAUAACUGGUUUGAGAGGAUGAUCAGUCACACUGGAACUGAGACACGGUCCAGACUCCUACGGGAGGCAGCAGUGGGGAAUAUUGCACAAUGGACGAAAGUCUGAUGCAGCAACGCCGCGUGGAGGAUGACACAUUUCGGUGCGUAAGCUCCUUUUAUAUGAGAAGAUAAUGACGGUAUUAUAUGAAUAAGCACCGGCUAACUCCGUGCCAGCCGCCGCCGUAA